GUGGGGAAUAUUGGACAAUGGGCGAAAGCCUGAUCCAGCCAUGCCGCGUGUGUGAAGAAGGUCUUCGGAUUGUAAAGCACUUUAAGUUGGGAGGAAGGGAAGUAAGUUAAUACCUUGCUGUUUUGACGUUACCGACAGAAUAAGCACCGGCUAACUUCGUGCCAGCAGCCGCGGUAAUACGAAGGGUGCAAGCGUUAAUCGGAAUUACUGGGCGUAAAGCGCGCGUAGGUGGUUUUGUAAGUUGGAGGUGAAAUCCCCGGGCUCAACCUGGGAACUGCCUCCAAAACUGCAUGACUAGAGUACGGUAGAGGGUAGUGGAAUUUCCUGUGUAGCGGUGAAAUGCGUAGAUAUAGGAAGGAACACCAGUGGCGAAGGCGACUACCUGGACUGAUACUGACACUGAGGUGCGAAAGCGUGGGGAGCAAACAGGAUUAGAAACCCCGGUAGUCC
rnacentral:rRNA from 1 species